rnacentral:rRNA from 1 species
UACGUAGGGGGCAAGCGUUGUCCGGAUUUAUUGGGCGUAAAGAGCGUGUAGGCGGCCACACAGGUCUGCUGUGAAAACUCGAGGCUCAACCUCGAGCUGUCGGUGGAAACCGUGUGGCUAGAGUCCGGAAGAGGAGAGUGGAAUUCCCGGUGUAGCGGUGAAAUGCGUAGAUAUCAGGAGGAACACCGGUGGUGUAGACGGCUCUCUGGACCGUAACUGACGCUGAGGCACGAAAGCGUGGGUAGCAAACAGG